rnacentral:rRNA from 1 species
AAUUGCAGAAUUCCAGUGAGUCAUCGAAUCUUUGAACGCACAUUGCGCCCUUUGGUAUUCCGAAGGGCAUGCCUGUUCGAGCGUCAUUAUCACCCCUCAAGCCCCUGGCUUGGUGUUGGACGGUUUGGUGGAGGCCCUUCGCGGGCGUCUACCCCUCCCAAAGACAAUGACGGCGGCCUCGUUGGACCCCCGGUACACUGAGUUCUUCACGGGACACGUAUCGGAUACAUGGGUUUGCGGGACACGGUCUACCUCCCUUUAGGGAGAAUCUUUCUAAGGUUGACCUCGGAUCAGGUAGGGAUACCCGCUGAACUUAAGCAUAUCAAUAAGCGGAGGAAAAGAAACCAACAGGGAUUGCCUCAGUAACGGCGAGUGAAGCGGCAACAGCUCAAAUUUGAAAUCUGGCCUCUUUGGGGUCCGAGUUGUAAUUUGUAGAGGAUGUUUCGGGUACCGCCUCGGUUUAAAUUUCUUGGAACAGAAUGUCAGAGAGGGUGAGAAUCCCGUCUUGGACCGGCGGUAGGGCCCAUGUGAAACUCCUUCGACGAGUCGAGUUGUUUGGGAAUGCAGCUCAAAAUGGGUGGUAAAUUUCAUCUAAAGCUAAAUAUUGGCCAGAGACCGAUAGCGCACAAGUAGAGUGAUCGAAAGAUGAAAAGCACUUUGAAAAGAGAGUUAAACAGUAUGUGAAAUUGUUGAAAGGGAAGCGCUUACAACCAGACUUGCGCGCGGCGGUUCCCCCUUCCUUUUGGUUGGGCUACUCCGUCGUGUCCAGGCCAACAUCGGUUCUGGGGGUCGGUUAAAGACCCUGGGAAUGUACCUACCCUUCGGGCGUAGACUUAUAGCCCAGGGUGUCAUGCGACCUCCCGGGACCGAGGAACGCGCUUCGGCUCGGAUGUUGGCGUAAUGGUUGUCAGCGACCCGUCUUGAAACACGGACCAAGGAGUCUAACAUACUAUGCGAGUGUUUGGGUGUCAAACCCGGAACGCGAAAUGAAAGUGAAUCGGAGGUAGGAAGCCUUAAGGCUGCACUAUCGACCGAUCCUGAUGUCUUCGGAUGGAUUUGAGUAAGAGCAUAGCUGUUGGGACCCGAAAGAUGGUGAACUAU